GAGGACUUGAAGCAUAUGGAUAAAAGACGAAGAGACAACCAGGUUGCGUAGAGAACCCUACUGAAGUACUUUCGACGAGCAGUAGCGUCUAGACAAACACUGCCCCCAAGCCGGUUUCCAAUGCAUCAGCUUUCUACAGUAGAGGGCGCCAGAUUGCUGGUUACUCUGCCACGGAUGCAUUGCUACAAUCAAGGUGAGUUUAUUGGGUUUUUUAAAGUGGGGCCUUAAAAAAACAUGUUAUUUUUUAUAUGGCAUUAGUUCUAUUUGUCCUCACAACCUGAUGUUGAUUUCUUUAGAGCACAACAACUUUUUUUUAAUUCGGGAGACUUCUCUACUACCUCAGAUUAGAUUCUCUGAAUGGACCCUACCCAUGAAAUAUGCUAAUUACAUUCAUGCAUGCGUACAGACCCUGUUGGUUGCAGACGCGCAAUCGCG